GGCUUAGUGGCGAAGUGGCAACGCGUUACACCUAUAUUCCAGGCUCGAGGUCCUCUAGGCUUGCCUUGCCUAGGGGGUCCGAUCCUGGAGAUGUAAAGAGCCUAGGUUCGAUUCCUAGCUAGGCCA
rnacentral:tRNA from 1 species